GAUGAACGCUAGCUACAGGCUUAACACAUGCAAGUCGAGGGGAAACGAUAUUGGAAGCUUGCUUCCGAUAGGCGUCGACCGGCGCACGGGUGAGUAACGCGUAUCCAACCUGCCCACCACUUGGGGAUAACCUUGCGAAAGUAAGACUAAUACCCAAUGACGUCCAUAGAAGACAUCUGAAAUGGAUUAAAGAUUUAUCGGUGAUGGAUGGGGAUGCGUCUGAUUAGCUUGUUGGCGGGGUAACGGCCCACCAAGGCGACGAUCAGUAGGGGGGCUGAGAGGAAGGUCCCCCACAUUGGAACUGAGACACGGUCCAAACGCCUACGGGAGGCAGCAGUGAGGAAUAUUGGUCAACGGGCGAGAGCCUGAACCAGCCAAGUAGCGUGCAGGAUGACGGCCCUAUGGGUUGUAAACUGCUUUUAUAAGGGAAUAAAGUGAGUCUCGUGAGGCUUUUUGCAUGUACCUUAUGAAUAAGGACCGGCUAGUUCCGUGCCAGCCGCCGCGGUAA
rnacentral:rRNA from 1 species